GACGCCGGGAAAUGUGGUGUUGAGGAGGAUCCAUUAUACCGAGGUUUUGCGAUGCGUCCAAGUCCUUCUUGAACGGGGCCAUUACCCACAGAGGGUGCCAGGCCCGUAGCGACUGUCGCUCGCCACGGUAGGAUCUCUCCUCAGAGUCGGGUUGCUUGAGAGUGCAGCCCUAAGUGGGUGGUAAACUCCAUCUAAGGCUAAAUAUGACCACGAGACCGAUAGCGAACAAGUACCGUGAGGGAAAGUUGAAAAGCACUUUGAAGAGAGAGUUCAAGAGUACGUGAAACCGUUCAGGGGUAAACCUGAGAAACCCGAAAGGUCGGCGGGGAAAUUCAUGCGCGUCUCCGCGUUCGAUGGCGAGUGGUGGCGCGACGCCCGUUCUCUCGAGUACGGGCGCGCCCACCGUUCGUCUAAAUCGAAUCGGAACGCGUGCACUUUUCCCCUGUCGGACGUCGCGAUCCGUUGGGUGUCGGUCUAAGGCGCCGCGGCGGAGCCCAGUCGGCCGUCCUUGUGACGAUCGGCAGGACCCGCGGUGCAUCCCGACCGACCCGCUCGACGGUGUACAUGUGGCGAUGCGUCGGCGAUCGGACCUGGUGCCGAUUCCGACGUCGCCCGACUGUUGGCCGCGGCGUUCUCGAACAGUCUCUAAAAUUCACACACGCCGAUCGGCGACGCUAUAGCUUUGGGUACUUUCAGGACCCGUCUUG
rnacentral:rRNA from 1 species